CCUACGGGAGGCAGCAGUGGGGAAUCUUGCGCAAUGGGCGAAAGCCUGACGCAGCCAUGCCGCGUGAAUGAUGAAGGUCUUAGGAUUGUAAAAUUCUUUCACCGAGGACGAUAAUGACGGUACUCGGAGAAGAAGCCCCGGCUAACUUCGUGCCAGCAGCCGCGGUAAUACGAAGGGGGCUAGCGUUGCUCGGAAUUACUGGGCGUAAAGGGAGCGUAGGCGGAUAGUUUAGUCAGAGGUGAAAGCCCAGGGCUCAACCUUGGAAUUGCCUUUGAUACUGGCUAUCUUGAGUACGGAAGAGGUAUGUGGAACUCCGAGUGUAGAGGUGAAAUUCGUAGAUAUUCGGAAGAACACCAGUGGCGAAGGCGACAUACUGGUCCGUUACUGACGCUGAGGCUCGAAAGCGUGGGGAGCAAACAGGAUUAGAUACCCUGGUAGUCCACGCUGUAAACGAUGAGUGCUAGUUGUCGGCAUGCAUGCAUGUCGGUGACGCAGCUAACGCAUUAAGCACUCCGCCUGGGGAGUACGGUCGCAAGAUUAAAACUCAAAUGAAUUGAGG
rnacentral:rRNA from 1 species